AUUCAAGAUAACGCCGAGUGAGUAAUUGCUAAUCUUCCUGAUGUGCCUGGUAACUGACAUGUAAUCGUAACCUCACCCAGGAGGAGAUGGAGCGACGUGAAGUUUAUAUCAAGUUCAUAAUCUGUCCAAAACACCUCAUCUCAUCUACUUAUGGUUUUGAAAGUCUGGCAGCGAAUUGCUUUCCCUCCUCGAGCCCCACGGACCUGUGAGGAACCUGCUGGGAGGAACCUGCUGGGGACCACCAUCAGGUAGAACCACCAUCAGAUAGACCCACCAUCACAUAGAACCACCAUCAGAUAGACCCACCAUCACAUAGAACCACCAUCAGAUAGACCCACCAUCACCUAGAACCACCAUCAGAUAGACCCACCAUCACAUAGAAGCACCAUCACGUAGAACCACCAUCACGUAGAACCAUCAUCAGAUAGAACCACCAUCAGGUAGAACCACCAUCACGUAGAACCACCAUCAGGUAGAACCACCAUCACAUAGAACCACCAUCAGGUAGAACCACCAUCAGAUAGAUCCUCCAUCAGAUAGAAGCACCAUCACAUAGAACCACCAUCAGAUAGAACCACCAUCCACAGAAGCCUGUGGGGAGCAAGAGCACUACGACUUUAGGGGAGCGUAUUGUUGGUUUACGAUGACAGUAACAGUAAUGUGAUAUUUAAAACAACAAUAAUGAGGAUGGUGGCAGCAGCAGGGGUCAGCAGGGUCACGGCAGGAGGCAGGAACAGGGUCCAGAUUGAACCAAGAUUCAUGGAAACCUGUGAGGUGAGAAAGCACAAAUACUUGGAAGAAACAAAGUUAGUGAUGCGCAGUAAAGUUUACAGUAAUAGAAAUGGGAAUAUUAAUAGUGUUAGAAGUGAUAGUUUAUCAAGAAAGCUUACUUAUCAAAAUGGAUCAACUUCAUUUGACAAUUCUUGCUGAUGGAUUUUAUUGGCUGCGGAACAGGAGCUCUGAAGGAAAUUGCAUAAACAUUUCCGCCGUGGAUUUUCUGGUGUAAAUAAAGUUGAAGGUUUUAAAUCUGGCAACUUGUAACAAGUUUUGUGAGCAAACAAUUACAGUUCAGCUUAUUGAAAUGUCUCUUUCAUGCCUGCAAUAUUUUCCUAACCUUAAUCUCAAUGAACGUAUACCUGCGAAUGCAAACAAUAGCGGUUUGUUUCUUAAAGAUGCUGAUCUUGACGGAUUGAUUGAAAAGGAAAAGACCCUCUCAUUGUGUUUGCCCACAGCGUUUCCCCUCAGCUUUCCUCUUCGCGCUCCCAGUCCCACCUGGAGCGCCGCUGACGGAUAGAUGCAUUGACAGGAGACCCCCGCCAGGCUCCUUAAACACCCAUUGUUCUACACAAAGGUCAACCUCCGAGCAGUGGAUUGUUGUCAUGCAGCAGCAACACCAGAGGGAACGCAUGAGAUCAGAAGUGUGCAAGCAACACGGAAGACUACACACCCACAGAUUAAAAGCACUUUCAUUUUUCAAACAAUCGGUUUCUAAUUUGGUUUUGUGUACUAAAAACUAUCCUUGACUGAGGUGUUUAGUGGAUAAAUCAUCACGUACAUCAAACAUCCGAUCUGUCUGGAUCAGGAGACUUUAAUCAUCUUUAAAUCACCACAUGAAUUAUUACGUUUCCAUUGUGUGACCGAUCACCUGAUCUUCUGUUUAGUGGCCCUGUUGGGGGAUCAACAUCUGGAUGCUUGGAGGCUCCAGUGGAACUACAAGAUUGAUGUUUUGUUGGUUCGGGGGGAAAUGGCUGCUUGGAGGAGGGUCCCUGAAGUCUAAUUAUUCUUAGUUCUCUGAAUUUCAAUGCAGGCAAGGACGUUGUUUCUUUCCGCUAACACACUGUUAGCAAGGCCUCCAUGGACCCCCCGUGAGAAACCACCUUGCCCCCCAUGCUCUGACCUACGUGGUGGUUCAGCACACCAGGAAGGAUGACGCUUCCCUCCCAGUCUGGUUGUGUUGUAUAUCUUUAGUUCAUGGCGGGACUUUCAAUAUGAGCAGCAAAGAAGCGUAGUUAGGACCCCUGUAGGGGGGCAUCUAUUGCCGGCAGGGCAAAGAGUCGAGAAUGAUUAGUUCGUACCGAGCCACCUUGUGGUUUCCUCAGUGGGCCUUGUGGUCUCCUCAGUUGGCCUUGUGGUCUCCUCAGUGGGCCUUGUGGUCUCCUCAGUGGGCCUUGUGGGCUCCUCAGUUGGCCUUGUGGUCUCCUCAGUGGGCCUUGUGGUCUCCUCAGUUGGCCUCGUGCCGUUUUUGGCUCCAUAGCUCCUUGAUUUAGUUUAGAGCCUUUUUGUGAUUGAUUGUUUGAGGAUUAUUUCCUCUGUGAGAGAGAUUUUGGUUUUGCAUUUGUUAACUAUUCAGCUCCCUUAGUUUAGCCAGAGCUUUCCCCCGUUCAUCUCUCUUCGGAGAAGUUUUUUGUUCCCAGGGAAAUAAAAGCGUCAGCUGAACCUCAACUCUGCGUCCGAGGCCUCCUCAGGAGCUUCCUCCGUGACAGAUUAGGAGCAUUCAUAGUAACUUUUAUUGCAAUAUAGAAAUCUGUAUCCAGGACACUGAUUACUAAAAAACGUAUUUCUCUCCCUCUUCUGGCCCAGUUUGUCCUAAAGUUGAUAGCAUGAGUGUAUUUAACACAAACACGCCGCUGAGUUCAAAGGUGGCGGAAAAAACAUCCAGUUGGCAGAAUGAACUGGAAAACUCGUGCAACAGGCUUCUUUUCAGCAGAGGGGAUCCAAACGCCCCCGACGGACUGAUAGUGAGAAUAGUGAGGUCAUGGGAGGAGGCAUGCUGUGAUACGCACUGAGCAGACCAUUGUUGGAUCAUCGACACUGUGAUGCUGCACAGGGAUAGCAGAGGCUGGAUGGUGUUGGAUUAUAUUUAUGAAUAUGUGAAUAUCUUAUGGAUAGAUCAUGUGACAAUAUGGAUUUAUUUUAUCAGUUGCUCAAAUACUCUUUUUUUUGAUAAAACUUCCUGACAAACCUCAGUCUGUCUUACCGCCAUGCUGCUAAAUGAAUGUGGCGCUGUGGAGUUUUUAUUGUGCUACAAUAGCAGUAAAUUCUCAGCACACAUUUUUCCAGUCAACAUCUGGAACGAUGCCACAGCUCUCAUUAUGGCCCCAAUGCUGCAGCCUUGUUUCAGAGACCUGUUUACGGCUUCUGGGUCGACUUCCCAGGGAGAUUCUUCUGCAUUUCUACUCUACAUAAACUGCUGUUCCAGGUUCAAACUGCACCAUCUUUUAUCAAAUGCAUGUGAGACUUCUUCUCUUUGGUCACGUCACCCAGCCCGACCAGUUGAGAACCACUGUUCACCUCCUGCAUCGUCAGCACCGCCGUGCGUGGAUCAGAUCCUGCGGGUGGUUUCUUUCAUUUCACAUCACAAACAAACCGACGAUCUUUGAUUAUUUGGUCCACACAAAACCAACGACAGUGUCCGUGGAAAGUUCCAGGAUGUCGUCAACACGGCGUGGGCGUGAAAGCAACGUAGAGACCAGACGAUGUUUAAAGGGCGCUGAGCUGAAAUAAGCUGUGGAAACAACAGUGGAACGUUUCCCCGCUAGCUCGCAUGCAUAAACAGUUGCUCAUCAGAUCGACACGUCCACCAUGUGGGGAGCAACGUUAGCGUGAUAAUCUGAGCACAUCCAGUCCCUCUCCUUGGUGGAGAACAGCUCCUGUGAGAAAUGCUCCACUGUGUUCACCGCGUGGUCUCUAGAUGAGUGUCUGCUGGGUGGUGCUGGGCCACCAUCGUCCCCUCGUGAGCCUUCAAAUACAGAAUUGUCACAUGUAGUGACAUGAAGUCCAAGCCCGCACAGUGAAUCAUUUAUGUGCAUUCUGAUGUUACUGAUAUGCUUCAGGUGCUCACCGUACUCUAAAGCAGCUCUUCAUUGCCGUUC
ensembl:lncRNA